CGCCUUAUCAUGCAAGUCGAACGAGAAAGCACUUCGGUGUGAGUACAGUGGCGGACGGGUGAGUAACGCGUAGGAAUCUACCUAGUAGUGGGGGACAACUCGGGGAAACUCGAGCUAAUACCGCAUACGCUCUCUGAUUCUUCGGAUGAUGAGAGGAAAGUGGGGGACCUUAGGGCCUCACGCUAUUAGAGGAGCCUGCGUUGGAUUAGCUAGUUGGUGGGGUAACGGCCUACCAAGGCGACGAUCUAUAGCUGGUCUGAGAGGACGAUCAGCCACACUGGAACUGAGACACGGUCCAGACUUCUACGGAAGGCAGCAGUAGGGAAUCUUGGUCAAUGGGCGCAAGCCUGAACCAGCGAUGCCGCGUGUGCGAAGAAGGCCCUAGGGUUGUAAAGCACUUUCAGUCGUGAAGAAACACUUAAGAUUAAUACUCUUGAGAAUUGACGUUAACGACAGAAGAAGCACCGGCUAACUCCGUGCCAGCAGCCGCGGUAAUACGGAGGGUGCGAACGUUAAUCGGAAUUACUGGGCGUAAAGCGCGCGUAGGCGGUUUGCUAAGUGGGAUGUGAAAGCCCUGGGCUUAACCUGGGAACUGCAUUCCAAACUGGCAAACUAGAGUAUGGUAGAGGGAGGUAGAAUUUCCUGUGUAGCGGUGAAAUGCGUAGAUAUAGGAAGGAAUACCGAUGGCGAANGCAGCCUCCUGGACAAUACUGACGCUGAGGUGCGAA
rnacentral:rRNA from 1 species